rnacentral:snoRNA from 1 species
CUGAGGUGAUGAAUUGCAUGAUAGUCCGUGUUUCUGAUAGCCAGUGAUUAUUAACAUGCUCUGAUAAA